GAUCCCUACCAAUGUGAUGAGUGUGGGGAAGGCCAUAGAAAGGACCGGCGAAUGCUGGCAUUGAUGUGUGUUAUUUUAACAUUUCUGAAAUCCUGUUCUUAGUCUGCACACCUUGUCCGAGGCUCCGAUGUUAUCCAGGUCACCAGGUAUGCCCCUGGGCUCCUGCCGCAGCUGAUCGGGUGCUAGGUGCUGAGGAUACACGUCUGGGAGAAAGCAAUUGGAAGAAAUGCAAAGCUCUUCAAAGGAGACCUAUAAAGUCAUCUUUGUUUUGUUCAUUCUUCUCAUGUUUCUGCAUUCUGGGCAUUCUCCUAAAUUGGGGAGAAACCAAAAUGCCCAGAAGUCAAAUUCUGCAACUGUCAUCAUGCAAAAUGUCAAAUGAGAGAACCAAAAUGAAGAGACUGGGGCUCCAGGAAUUGACUUUCCCAGAAUCCCAUUGUCACUUCAGGGCUCUCAAGAUGUUGCCUUCCAGAAUUCUGCUUGCUCGUAUCAGGUUCUCCUAAAGAAAGGAAGCCAUUAAACAAGAAAAGAAACCAACAUUCCGUUAUGGAUUAAAAAUAUGCUGUCAUUCACCUAUUAGCUCUUCUACAUUGGCCAGGAUGGAGGCGACAUUUCUGGUUUUCUUAUCUUUCCUCUUGUUUUAGCAGAAUUUGAGGAAUCUGCUUAACCAUUUGUACUUUGUUCUACUGCCAGUCCAAACAAUUUCAAUCAAUGGAUUCCCAAGCCAAGCUUCUAACUACAGCUCACCAGGCAUCCUAGUUGGACUGAUUUUGUUUUUGUUUUGAGAAAUUAUGAAAUAGGCAAGUUGUCUUACAUGUAAGUAUUGACCAUUUGGGAAAAGCUGUUAUUUGCCUUCAGUUAAAAUAUGCAAGAAAAGGAGAUGGAUGGGUUUGGGGACUUGCCUUAAACUCAACUAAUCAAGAUGGUAAUUCCUAAGUAAUUCAUGGUUCCUAGCGGUCUUCUUAAUCAGUGGGUGGGAUUCCUGGCCUCAUAUUUUGCCCCAGCUACUAGUCCAAUUCUCUGAUGUCUGUUCACCCACACCACAGCCCUGGACUCUGGCUGCAAGAGUAGAAAUAUUCUGUUGUUUCCUCUAAUCUUGUACGUUCAUUUGUGCAUCAACUAUGUGCCAGUCAUCCUAAAGAAACUUACAGCCAAGUUGAAGACAGACAAGUUAAAGGGCAAUUUUAUAUUAAAAAAGAGAACUCUAUGGAGUG
ensembl:lncRNA LINC01213 long intergenic non-protein coding RNA 1213